AGCCCAAAGAAAAAAAAAGAAAAAAAAACAACAACUUGUCUGCAACCUCCCUCUCGGCCUCGCCUAGUCGCCUCUUGGUCGCACAGCAGCCAGCAGGUUGAUGAGAUGCAGGCAGUUCUUCUCUUCGUGAUAUUGAGUUGAGGUCUUCUUCCUGUAUGGAUUUUCAUUGCAGACUUGCAGUCAUCUUCUCUAGCUUUCCCCAUCCAAGCUUGCUUUGUUUUCUGAGUUGCUCCAAAACCAAAAGGUCUUUCUUUUCUUUUUAGCUAAGCCUCUUGAUUGGUUUAAUGGGUUAAAUGGGUUUGUUGUUGAUUUCUUUUCUUUGGUCUAAGGUACGGUUAUCUUUUCUUCAAUUCUACAUUGUGAUUCGUCCGUCCUUUUUCUUAUUCAAUGGAAACCUGCGGAUAAAGUUGCUGCAGCUGGAUUUUUCGUGAUGGUUCCCAAUUUCUUUUAUGGCGACUCCGUGAAUCCUGAUAAUCUUCAAUUCGACCGAGAGUCCUGGUUUAAAGCUCAUAGCAAGGUUAGUGACUUUUCUUGAAAGGAGUAUAUAUGUACAAUCUUUGGAAUUGGUAAGUAGGAACUAGAAUCAAGAUGAAUUAGGAGGGGAAACAUAAAUUUUCCCAUAUUUUGAAGGCCAAUACAAUUAUGUACUGAUUGUCUGCAAGUGAAGUAAGAGUAGAACAAUCGGGGGUAAAAACCUACUGAAAGAUUCUCAAUUUGGACCGAACAAUCAAACAUGAUUCCACCUAAAAAAAAAAAAAAAAAUUAGUGUACUUCAAAUUAGCAUAAACAAGUCUUGGACCCUGGUACCGCCACUGUGUACAUAUCGCCCAUAACGUAUCUAGCUAGGGCAAGAGAUCGAGAUCUGCAGAGAGUGAGGUUGGGGCCUUUGCUAUCGAAGAAAAACUGUCUUGUAUAUAUGAUAUUAUAUGAUCCAAAUGUCAAUAUAUGGUAGUCAUGGACCUCAUGCAUGCUGAUAUAUAUCAUGGUCCCUCAAAUACUGAGGCACAGUAAUAUGAAAACUACACAAAUUUGGACGCACACUAUAUUUGUGCCAAAGGACAAAAGAUAAUUUUCUUGACAAAAGUCCCAAUCAACGUGUUGCAGCCUCAACGGGGCCAACAUGUACAGGAGUGAACCAUAAACUGCAUACGUAGCUUGCCUCGUGAUCAUAAAAUAUUAUGUGCUUCUGAGCUCUGAUCCAAGUUUGAUCCAUUCGAUUUGGUGAUAUAUGGAAUAAUGAAUAUGUUUCGGCUGAACUAUUAAUUCAGAUAGUAGGUGGCUAGAUGCAGUUCACACGUACCUAACAAAACAAAGAUUCUCUACAUGUUACUUGAGUUAAUGCUACUGCCCAUCGAUAUAGGGUUGAUUGGAAAGGGAGACUUUAUCCAUAUGAUUAAUUGGUAAGAUGAAUUGAUCCAAUUAAUAUUGACUUCUUGAGUUUCACAUUGAUGUUCGUAGGUCAAUAUAUUUGAUGAAAUAACCCUUAUAAACUGAUUAAGAGAAGAUUGAUAGAUAUACAAAUGCCUAUAUUUUAAUUUUGUAAAACUCUUAUAUAAUAAUUUAUAGUUUAAGCAUACGUGUACACGUACAUAUUUUGUUUGCAGGAAUUUGAGUCUAAGAUUCAAAUUGGA